rnacentral:tRNA from 1 species
GCUCGGGUGGUGGAAUUGGUAGACACGUUGGACUUAAAAUCCAAUGAACCUUGGUUCGUACGGGUUCAAGUCCCGUCCCGAGUACAA